GACGAACGCUGGCGGCGUGCUUAACACAUGCAAGUCGAACGGAGAGGCCCUGCUUUUGUGGGGUGCUCGAGUGGCGAACGGGUGAGUAACACGUGAGUAACCUGCCCUUGACUUUGGGAUAACUUCAGGAAACUGGGGCUAAUACCGGAUAGGAGCUCCUGCUGCAUGGUGGGGGUUGGAAAGUUUCGGCGGUUGGGGAUGGACUCGCGGCUUAUCAGCUUGUUGGUGGGGUAGUGGCUCACCAAGGCUUUGACGGGUAGCCGGCCUGAGAGGGUGACCGGCCACAUUGGGACUGAGAUACGGCCCAGACUCCUACGGGAGGCAGCAGUGGGGAAUAUUGCACAAUGGGCGGAAGCCUGAUGCAGCAACGCCGCGUGCGGGAUGACGGCCUUCGGGUUGUAAACCGCUUUCGCCUGUGACGAAGCGUGAGUGACGGUAAUGGGUAAAGAAGCACCGGCUAACUACGUG
rnacentral:rRNA from 1 species